UACGGAGGGUGCAAGCGUUAUCCGGAUUCACUGGGUUUAAAGGGUGCGUAGGUGGGUUGCCAAGUCCGUGGUGAAAUCUCCGAGCUUAACUCGGAAACUGCCGUGGAUACUGGUAAUCUUGAAUAUCGUGGAGGUAAGCGGAAUAUGUCAUGUAGCGGUGAAAUGCUUAGAUAUGACAUAGAACACCAAUUGCGUAGGCAGCUUACUACACGAUCAUUGACGCUGAGGCACGAAAGCGUGGGGAGCAAACAGG
rnacentral:rRNA from 1 species